UGCCAAAACAAGACUCUUGAGCCAACCAAGAAUGGAGAUCGAAUUAAUGAAGUGACAUGGCAUGAGAGAAGCUUCUUGAAGACUCUAGAUGAUGACAUGGCAUAAAGGUGGCGCAUGGAGGCCCAUGAAUUCUCAAGAGACAUUGAAUUUUCGGCAAUUGGAUUAAAGGCCCACAAAAACCCAUGCAACUAGGGUUUUUGACGCAUGACUAAACCCUAGGGAGAGUUUGCCGUCCAAAGUAAAGAGAGAAACAAGGAAGUGGCGUGAGAAAUCAGAAAAUAUAAAGAAGAUUUCGGUGGAGAUUUUCUAGGGCUAUUUUUAUGGAAAGAAAAUAUAUUUGGAGACCUACCUAUAGAAAAAUUGGACAAGGUCAUUCAGACUGAAAUUGUGAUGGGGACACUUCCUCUGCAACUCCUGAAAUUCCUCCCAUGCCUCAUAUAGUGUAUCUCCAUCCUUUUGAGUGAAGUUUUGGAUCUCCCUCCUUAGUCGUUUUAUCAGUUGAGCGGGGAAAUAUUGUUUCAAAAACUUCUUAACCAUUUCAUCCCAAGUUGUGAUGAUACCUGCAGGUAACGAGUACAACCAACGUUUUGCAUCAUCUUUUAAAGAAAAGGGAAAUAGAAGUAACCUGAGUCCUUCUGGUUGGAUGUUCUGAAUGGUUUGCAGCUUGCAAAUAUCUAAGAAUUCCCUAAUGUGAACAUUAGGAUCCUCAGAUGGUGUGCCAGUGUACUUAGGCAACGAGUUAAGGAGCUGCACAAGAAUGGAGAAGGCUUGAUUGCUAGGUGGUGUGUAAGCUAUGCAUGAGGGGGAUUCCGAAGCUGUCGGAACAAAAGCAUCCUUCAAUGCCAUGUCGAGUCUUGGGGGUUCCUCUUCGUCCUCGUGAAUUGAAUGUGCAGAAGCCUAGAAGUAAAAACCGCUCCAUUUCGAUCAGCAUUUCUUACCUGUCUGCGCUGUUCAAAACUUCUUGUUUAAUUCGGAGUCUGUAUGUUUUGGUGAGGUAGUUUAAUUCAUUGCCAAGCUAUUUUAGCUAUUUCAAAUGAGGCAAAGAAUACUCUGUGCUGUUUGGUGAGGUUGCAGAGAUGUUCAACUGAGCUUGAAUUUGUAAAGCAGGAGAAAACCAAAUCAUCCGUUUGAUAUUACAGAGCGCUAGUUGGAGGUUGAAGAGGAGUGAAAGUUAAGCGGACGACUCGAUGUGGUUUGGUGUGAGAUGCAUAAACUGCAGGCAGAGAGAAAUAGUCAUUUCGGUCUCAGAUAACCUGGGUUAAAUUGGAACAAGAAGAAGCAAAUAUUUUUUUUUUAUCUCGAGCAAUAUUGUACGCAGCCGCAUAUCAAAUUUCAAAAGAAUCAAUAGGAAGAAGAAGAUAAGAGAAAGAGGAGCUGAUUUUGAGAAAGCUUGGUUUGUCAAAUUUCCAAAGGUUGAAGCUUUCACUCACUCUGAGCGGCAUAUCUCUUUGAGGCUCGACUCUCUUUCAGUGAAAAGCAUGUCUAUCAAAGGAGCUAAUUGGACAAGAAAGGAAGAUGAAGCUCUUUGCAUUGUGUUCAUCCAAGUAUCCAAAAACUCCGACAAAGGUACGAGCCAAAAAGAGACCGACAUUUGGAAACAAGUGGAGCAAAAGUUUAAAGAAUUUUUCAAUGGUACUCCUCCGAAUGUUAGAAAUUUUGAGAGUUGUAAAUCUCGAUGGCAAAAACACCUCUUCCCACAAAUGAACAAAUUGCAUCAAUGCGUCAAAUGCGCCGAGAGGAGGAUUCAUUGCGGAGCUAAUCAAUCCGACCAACAACACUUUGCCGAAGAUUUCUACAAGGACGAUAUGAAUGGAAAAAAUUUUCGCCAUCAAAGGUGUUACAAUUAAUUUGUGUAGCGAUAGUGGGUGACGUUUGAUGAUCCACCACUAGAAAACUUUGGCUCAUCACCGGUGCAAAGAAACCUCCCUAUUUCCUUGGAGGAUGAUGACGAGCCAAACGGAUCUACUUCGACACCAACUUCGACUCCGGAUUCCCUUGCUAGACCAAUGGGACGAAAUAUGGCAAGAAAACAUAAAUUGAAGGCCAAAGAAAAGGAGGAGAAAGCCUUUCAAAAAAAAUUAUUGGCUAACAUAGAGCAAAUGAGGGAAGAAAACAUCAAAGCGGAAGAGGCAAAAGCCAUAAGAGAGAAAAUGAAGGAGGAUCGACGAGAGAGGGAGAGGGAAGAAGCCAUUGUAAUAAUGCAAACCGUUGAUUUUACUCCAAGGAGCUAGGCAUAUUUUGAUGGGAAGAAGAGGGAAGCUGUUGAAAGGCUAAGGGCACGUGAGUUGUUUCCUAAUUCCGCCACAACAUCCAAUGACUACCAUCCACGUAUGGCAACCGAAGACGACUAUCAUCCACGUAUGGCAUCUGAAGAUGACGAAUAGUUUGGUUAUUUUAUCAAUUCGGUCAAUGUUUUCUUAAUAAAUUGUUCAAGUUAUGUAGAAAUGUAGGCGGUCGAAUUUGUUUUAUGUCAAUGAAGUUUAUGCAAGUUUAAUCUUAUGAAAUAAAAUGGUUGGAACA